rnacentral:rRNA from 1 species
GAUCCUGGCUCAGGAUGAACGCUAGCUACAGGCUUAACACAUGCAAGUCGAGGGGAAACGACAUCGAAAGCUUGCUUUUGUAUGGGCGUCGACCGGCGCACGGGUGAGUAACGCGUAUCCAACCUGCCCAUCACUUGGGAAUAACCUUGCGAAAGUAAGACUAAUGCCCAAUGAUAUCCCACGAAGGCAUCCGAAUGGGAUUAAAGAUUUAUCGGUGAUGGAUGGGAUGCGU